rnacentral:rRNA from 1 species
AACGAACGCUGGCGGCAGGCUUAACACAUGCAAGUCGAGCGCCCCGCAAGGGGAGCGGCAGACGGGUGAGUAACGCGUGGGAAUCUACCCAGUUCUACGGAAUAACCCAGGGAAACUUGGGCUAAUACCGUAUACGCCCUACGGGGGAAAGAUUUAUCGGAAUUGGAUGAGCCCGCGUUGGAUUAGCUAGUUGGCGGGGUAAUGGCCUACCAAGGCGACGAUCCAUAGCCGGUCUGAGAGGAUGAUCAGCCACACUGGGACUGAGACACGGCCCAGACUCCUACGGGAGGCAGCAGUGGGGAAUAUUGGACAAUGGGCGAAAGCCUGAUCCAGCCAUGCCGCGUGAGUGAUGAAGGCCUUAGGGUUGUAAAGCUCUUUCAGUGGGGACGAUAAUGACGGUACCCACAGAAGAAGCCCCGGCUAACUUCGUGCCAGCAGCCGCAGUAAAAC